CAAGAUGGACUGUAGGACAGUAUUGCUACUUUUGACUGUCUGCUGUGCAGGUGUUGAUGGUCAGACUCUGACAGAAUCUGAACCUGCAGUUAAAAGACCAGGAGAUUCCCACACACUGACCUGUACAACAUCUGGAUUCACAUUCAGCAGCUAUGAUAUGAACUGGAUCCGACAGGCUCCUGGAAAAGGACUGGAGUGGAUUGCUCACAUCUGGGGCAGUGGUAGCACUACUUACUACUCUCAGUCAGUUCAAGGCCGUUUUACAAUCUCCAGAGACAACAACAGACAGCAGCUGUAUCUGCAGAUGAACAGACUGAAGACUGAAGAUUCUGCUGUUUAUUAUUGUGCUCGAGAACCACAGUGACUGAAGUUCGUUGAGCAGCUGUACAAAAUCCAGUACUAUCUCCUGAUUACUACAGGUUUCUUGCAUGAUCAUUGUCCUUAUUUUGAGUCG